ensembl:lncRNA
GGGGAAAGGAGAGGACGAGGAUGCUCUGCAGCAGCACCUGGCUCGGCCCCACCAGGAGCACACGCUGUCCCGGAGCAGUGCAGCCCCUCGCUCCUGUGAGCUUCCCUUUGUCAUCCUAUGCCUGAGCGAUGCCUGGAGGCUGGGACGGUGAAGGGAGGCCCACGGGCUGCCACGGCCCUGCAGCGAUACGUCCGGAUAUGGUGCCUGUGGGGCUGGGGGUGCUGGGAGCAUCCCUGUGGGCUGGGGGCAUCCAAAGGGUUGGGGGCAUCCAAAGGGUAGGAGGGAUGCUUGGUGGGGGGGUGGGACAUGUAUCCCCCGUACUGAAUAGCUCAUCCCUGCAGAGGGGUGACCGUGCAGGAGGACAUUUUGGCAGCUCUGAGAAAUCACCUUUUCUCUCAGCAUCGCUGCUCUUCCUUUUUCCCUUCCCCCUCCUUUUUCCCUUUCCAUUUUCCCCUUUCCCUUUUCCAUUUCUCUUUCCCUUCCCUUUCCCUUUCCCCUUUUCUCUUUCCCCUUUCCUUUUUCUUUCCCCCUUCCUUUUCCACUUCCCCUCUUCCAUUUCCAUUUCCCUUUUCCUCUUUCCUUUUCCCUUUUUUCUUUUCCCUUUUCCCAGUUCAAUUUUCCCUUCCCCUUUUCCUUUUUCCCUUUCCCUUUUCCCAUUCCCUUUCCCCAUUUCCAUUUCCCUUUUCCCUUUUUCUUUCCCUGUUCCCUUUUUCUUUCCCUGUUCCCUUUUUCUUUCCCCUUUGCUUUUACCCUUUCCCCUUUUCCUUUCCCCCUCCCCUUUUCCUCUUCCCUUUUCUUUUUUUUGUCUUUUUCCCUUUCCUUUUUCCCAUUCCCUUUCCCCAUUUCCAUUUUCCUUUUCCCUUCUUCUUUCCCUUUCCCCUUCCCCUUUUCCCACCCAUUUCCCCCUCUCUCCAUAGCUUUACAAACUGCUGGCACCACUCCUGUGCUCUGGAGUUGUGCUGAGACCACAGGAACAUCAGAGAUUUGCAACGUGAGAACCUUCCAGUGCCCAAAAUCCAAGGAUUUCUCAUCAAUUCUUUAUAUAUAUAUACAUACACGUACACAUCUGUGUGUGUGUGGCUUUACUUUAUGUUCUAUUACAUUCCCAGCACCUGAACUGGGGUGGGACUCACGGAGGUGCAGAAAUGGCAUUGCUCAGCAUUUCUGCGUGUGAUGCUUCCACGUGAGCUGAAGUUACAUGGAAUAAAUGCUCAUCUCUG